AUCUCAGGUGGGAUAAUCUUUACCUGUUCCUCCUUUUGGAGGCAGAUAGAACAUGAUGAUUGGAGUUCGCAUGAAACAUGAUUAGCGUCUGCUAACCAGGACUUACAACACCCUGGUUGCUCCUAUCUGAU
rnacentral:snoRNA from 1 species